AUUGAACGCUGGCGGCAUGCCUUACACAUGCAAGUCGAACGGCAGCACGGGAGCAAUCCUGGUGGCGAGUGGCGAACGGGUGAGUAAUAUAUCGGAACGUGCCCAUUAGUGGGGGAUAGCCCGGCGAAAGCCGGAUUAAUACCGCAUGAGACCUGAGGGUGAAAGCGGGGGAUCGCAAGACCUCGCGCUAGUGGAGCGGCCGAUAUCAGAUUAGCUAGUUGGUGGGGUAAGGCCUACCAAGGCAACGAUCUGUAGUUGGUCUGAGAGGACGACCAGCCACACGGGGACUGAGACACGGCCCAGACUCCUACGGGAGGCAGCAGUGGGGAAUUUUGGACAAUGGGCGCAAGCCUGAUCCAGCAAUGCCGCGUGCAGGAAGAAGGCCUUCGGGUUGUAAACUGCUUUUGUCAGGGAAGAAAUCCUCUGGGUUAAUACCUCGGGGGGAUGACGGUACCUGAAGAAUAAGCACCGGCUAACUACGUGCCAGCAGCCGCCGUAAAAC
rnacentral:rRNA from 1 species